rnacentral:other from 1 species
GAUACCCUGCUGUGUUCGCGAUGCAGUACUACCGGUUUUGAGCCAACACCUUAAAAAUCGGGUCUCCAUCUCACUUGCAAGAAGCGAUAGGCUGCGGCCAAGGCUGAUUUCAAGGGUAGAGACCAAACCUGCAAUUGCAGGUUCAAAACUUCACUGCACACGGCACGGCGGGGUACUU